rnacentral:rRNA from 1 species
UGGGGAAUAUUGCACAAUGGGCGGAAGUUAGAUGCAGCGACCCCGCGGGGGGGAUGAAGGCCUUCGGGUUGUAAACUCCUUUCGACAGGGACGAAGCGUAAGUGACGGUACCUGUAUAAGAAGCACCGGCUAACUACGUGCCAGCNGCCGCGGUAUUACGUAGGGUGCGAGCGUUGUCCGGAUUUAUUGGCCGUANUUUGNNNNUAGGUGGUUUGUCGCGUCGUCUGUGAAAUUCCGGGGCUUAACUCCGGGCGUGCAGGCGAUACGGGCUGACUUGAGUGCUGUAGGGAAGACUGGAAUUCUUGGUGUAGCGNUGAAAUGCGCAGAUAUCAGGAGGAACACCGAUGGCGAAGGCAGGUCUCUGGCCAGUAACUGACGCUGAGGAGCGAAAGCUUGGGUAGCGAACAGGAUUAGAUACCCUGNAGUCCAUGCCGUAAACGGUGGGCGCUAGGUGUAGGGGGCUUCCACGUCUUCUGUGCCGUAGCUAACGCAUUGAGCGCCCCGCCUGGGGAGUACGGCCGCAG